rnacentral:lncRNA from 1 species
GUAACUUAAAUAGCUUUUAAAUUUUGUUUAAUAUCAAUCAAUGUGCUGUAGUUACUGUUUGGCCGUUGGGGUUUUGGUGCUGAACAUUGAUUGGAUUAACUUUAACGUCUAUUAUUGUUUUUUCAUAUGAAAUUGUAAUAAUUUGCCAAAAUUAAAUGUUUUAUUUUAAUUCGUUUUAAUUCCUACUGAGCAUUUAUUUAGUAUUGCUUUGCAUCCAGUCGUCUCAUAUCUUUAAUAUAUCUGCGUCUAUUUACU